GGAGAUGUAGCUCAGUGGGUAGAGAGAGCACUUGCCUAGCAUGUGUGAAGCCCUGGGUUGAAUCCUCAGCCCCUCCU
rnacentral:tRNA from 1 species